UGGCCCAGCUGGGGUCCCUGCUGGCCCGGCUGGACUCCCUGCGGGCGGCUCAGGAGCCCCUGGAUCGGGCCCGCGGCCACCACCUGGAGGCCAAGGGCCACCUGCUGCUGCUGCGGGCCCGGCUGGAGGAGCUGCAGGUUCUAUUGGACACUUACCCCGCCCCCACCCUGGAGGCCCAUCGGCGAAUCAGGGCGUGUCUCUCCGAGUCCCGGAAGAGGGCGGAGUCGGAGGCGGCGGCGCUGGGGGCGGAGCUUACGGCCCGCCGGGCCCUGGGCCCCGAGCUGCUGCGAUUGGCCGAGGAGCUGGGGCGUGUCCGCGAGGGGGCGGAGCUCGCCCGGGAGGCCCUGGGGAAGCUCCGCCCACCCGACCACGCCCAGUAAAAGCGGGUUUUUUCGCCCCGAAAAGGCGGUU